GUACUAAUGAAGAGUCCCAAACUAGGACGAAACAGCUAUCCAGUAC
rfam:Trichobilharzia regenti genome assembly, scaffold: TRE_contig0005855